rnacentral:rRNA from 1 species
UACGGAGGGUGCAAGCGUUAUCCGGAUUCACUGGGUUUAAAGGGUGCGUAGGAGGGCAGGUAAGUCAGUGGUGAAAUCCUAGAGCUUAACUCUAGAACUGCCGUUGAUACUAUCUGUCUUGAAUAUUGUGGAGGUGAGCGGAAUAUGUCAUGUAGCGGUGAAAUGCUUAGAUAUGACAUAGAAUACCCAUUGCGAAGGCAGCUAACUACGCGAUAAUUGACGCUGAUGCACGAAAGCGUGGGGAUCAAACAGG